rnacentral:rRNA from 1 species
AUUGAACGCUGGCGGCAGGCCGAACACAUGCAAGUCGAACGAGUGGCGGACGGGUGAGUAAUGUCUGGGAAAAUGCCUGAUGGAGGGGGAUAUCUACUGGAAACGGUAGCUAAUACCGCAUACCAUCGGAUGGGACCAGAUGGGAUUAGCUAGUAGGUGGGGUAACGGCUCACCUAGGCGAAGAUCCCUAGCUGGUCGGAGAGGAUGACCAGCCACUCUGGAACUGAGACACGGUCCAGACUCCUCAGGGAGGCAGCAGUGGGGAAUAUUGCACAAUGGGCGCAAUCCUGAUGCAGCCAUGCCGCGUGUAUGAAGAAGGCCUUCGGGUUGUAAAGUACUUUCAGCGGGGAGGCGUUACCCGCAGAAGAAGCACCGGCUAACUCCGUGCCAGCAGCCGCGGUAAUUC